AUUUAAAUAGUUUAAUUAAAAUAUUAAUUUGUGAAAUUAAUGAUGUAAAUUAAAAUUACUUUAAAUU
rnacentral:tRNA from 1 species